UACGUAGGGUGCGAGCGUUGUUCGGAAUCACUGGGCGUAAAGCGCACGUAGGCGGAUCUUUAAGUCAGGGGUGAAAUCCCGAGGCUCAACCUCGGAACUGCCUUUGAUACUGGGGAUCUCGAGUCCGGGAGAGGUGAGUGGAACUGCGAGUGUAGAGGUGAAAUUCGUAGAUAUUCGCAAGAACACCAGUGGCGAAGGCGGCUCACUGGCCCGGUACUGACGCUGAGGUGCGAAAGCGUGGGGAGCAAACAGG
rnacentral:rRNA from 1 species